CUUAGGCUGCCCUUAACAAAGGAAUAUAGACCUGGUACUGCUGAUCAAAAGUGUUCUUUUAAUACAUGCAGAGUUUUAAAAAAAUCUCAGAGAUUUUACUUAAACUUUGUGGAGAGCUCUGCGUUUUUUUCUGCCACUGAGAAAAAAAAAAUCAAGUUUUCCUCUCAGAUUUCCUCUCAAUUUUCCAAGGUUCCUCAAAGGCAUGGCCAGCAAUCUGGUGCAGUUCUUCAUUUCUGCAGGGCCCCUGUGAAAAGCUGUUUUAGCUCUAUUAACAACACAGCUGAAAUCCUUUAGAGAGAGUUAACAGAUUAUGAAAGCAAACAGAUACUGCAUGUUUUCAUACAGCUCCCCUUCCACAGGACCAGAUAAGCUCCCUCUUCACUAACCUCCCACUGUUCUGCCAUUUCUGAGAGACUGCUUUUUAAAUACAUCUGAGAUGUAUUUAAAAAUCAGAAGUUGAAUUAUUAGCCCAUAACCCAAAGUGGAAAAUAUUGGAAAAUAUAGUGGAAAAUAUAUCACAAACUGAAAGAAAUUCAAACCAUAUUCUCCUGUGUCCCCUGUGGGAGUUCUCCACAUUAAACAAGAAUCCUAAGUGAGAUUAACAGUGACUGAACGGCACAAAAAAAUGGGGGAAGGAAAAGAAAACAUCCUCCUCUUCUCCUCCACUACUAUAUGGUGUGAAGGCUUGCAAUUGAAUGUUACAAGAACACGAGUGCUUGAUAUUAUAUGUGCAGAGAGAAGAAACAGGCAUGUGGUUUCCGGAACUGCCUGUUUCCGUAUUUGUUCUGGUGAGAACAAUUCUGAGGAGAAGGACCUGGGAGUGUUGCUUGAUGAG
rnacentral:lncRNA from 1 species